rnacentral:tRNA from 1 species
GGGCUUGUAGCUUAGAGGAUUAGAGCACAUGGCUAUACCAUGAUGUCGGGAGUUCGAAUCCCUCCUGAUCCA